rnacentral:lncRNA from 1 species
CAAUUUUGGUGUAUUUCCUUGUUGAAACCUGCCAAACAGUGAUUGUUGCUUCGGCUGUUUAUCUUGGACGUUGUACCCUCAACAAGAGAGCCCUUAUGAACCAAAAUACUGAGUACUCUCGGAGAAUCAACUAAGGUAAUAUAUUCUUUUGUAUGGAGUUUCAACUAACCUUAGAUAUAAUUACUAGAAUUUGGAGCGACUCAUUUUAGUAAAAUGAAAUUAUUAAAUGUGAUGAUAAUAAGAAUAUUGAUGAGGAUUUUUUUAUUUUUCAUGUUAGUAAAAUCUCAUUAUUGUUCUGUUCCUUGGGUGUGCAUCAUUUCUUUUAGUAAAUGCUGUCCUCUUACUUUGGAUUCUUGUAUGGGAAAUUGUUGACUUCUGAUUUCAUUUCAGUCUGAUACAUUAUAAGAAAGUAUUGGAUGUUUGUGUUGAUUACAGGUAGAAAGUCUUUUUUUGUUGACAAUUAUAAUAUUACCUUGCUUACAUCAAUUUUAUGGAGAAAUUGAGUUUUCCAUCAUUUUUUCUUGAAAUCUUGAAAGGUAUUAAUAGUUCGCACACCAUAAAUAGUCUCUUUUUAUAUAUGAAGUUUUCAGUUUUUAAGGUUCAACUUGAAUAAACAAAUUUUUUUAAAAGUCCCAAAUUGAUAUGUAUUGCUUUUCUGCUAUUGUAGAUGGCAAUUUUGGUGUAUUUCCUUGCUGAAACCUGCCAAACAGUGAUUGUUGCUUCGGCUGUUUAUCUUGCACGUUGUACCCUCAGCAAGAGAGCCCUUAUGAACCAAAAUACUGAGUACUCUCGGAGAAUCAACUAAGGUAAUAUAUUCUUAUGUAUGGAGUUUCAACUAACCUUAGAUAUAAUUACUAGAAUUUGGAGCGACUCAUUCUAGUAAAAUUAAAUUAUUAAAUGUGAUGAUAAUAAGAACAUAGUAAAAUCUCAUUAUUGUUCUGUUCCUUGGGUGUGCAUCAUUCCUUUUAGUAAAUGCUGUCCUCUUACUUUGGAUUCUUGUAUGGGAAAUUGUUAACUUCUGAUUUCAUUUCAGUCCGCUACUUUAUUAGAAAGUAUUGGAUGUUUGUGUUGAUUACAGGUCAAAAGUCUCUUUUUAUAUAUGAAGUUUUCAGUUUUUAAGGUUCAACUUGAAUAAACAAAUUUUUUUAAAAGUCCCAAAUUGAUAUGUAUUGCUUUUCUGCUAUUGUAGAUGGCAAUUUUGGUGUAUUUCCUUGCUGAAACCUGCCAAACAGUGAUUGUUGCUUCGGCUGUUUAUCUUGCACGUUGUACCCUCAGCAAGAGAGCCCUUAUGAACCAAAAUACUGAGUACUCUCGGAGAAUCAACUAAGGUAAUAUAUUCUUAUGUAUGGAGUUUCAACUAACCUUAGAUAUAAUUACUAGAAUUUGGAGCGACUCAUUCUAGUAAAAUUAAAUUAUUAAAUGUGAUGAUAAUAAGAACAUAGUAAAAUCUCAUUAUUGUUCUGUUCCUUGGGUGUGCAUCAUUCCUUUUAGUAAAUGCUGUCCUCUUACUUUGGAUUCUUGUAUGGGAAAUUGUUAACUUCUGAUUUCAUUUCAGUCCGCUACUUUAUUAGAAAGUAUUGGAUGUUUGUGUUGAUUACAGGUCAAAAGUCUCUUUUUAUAUAUGAAGUUUUCAGUUUUUAAGGUUCAACUUGAAUAAACAAAUUUUUUUAAAAGUCCCAAAUUGAUAUGUAUUGCUUUUCUGCUAUUGUAGAUGGCAAUUUUGGUGUAUUUCCUUGCUGAAACCUGCCAAACAGUGAUUGUUGCUUCGGCUGUUUAUCUUGCACGUUGUACCCUCAGCAAGAGAGCCCUUAUGAACCAAAAUACUGAGUACUCUCGGAGAAUCAACUAAGGUAAUAUAUUCUUAUGUAUGGAGUUUCAACUAACCUUAGAUAUAAUUACUAGAAUUUGGAGCGACUCAUUCUAGUAAAAUUAAAUUAUUAAAUGUGAUGAUAAUAAGAACAUAGUAAAAUCUCAUUAUUGUUCUGUUCCUUGGGUGUGCAUCAUUUCUUUUAGGUGUAUUUCCUUGCUGAAACCUGCCAAACAGUGAUUGUUGCUUCGGCUGUUUAUCUUGCACGUUGUACCCUCAACAAGAGAGCCCUUAUGAACCAAAAUACUGAGUACUCUCGUAGAAUCAACUAAGGUAAUAUAUUCUUAUGUAUGGAGUUUCAACUAACCUUAGAUAUAAUUACUAGAAUUUGGAGCGACUCAUUCUAGUAAAAUUAAAUUAUUAAAUGUGAUGAUAAUAAGAACAUUGAUGAGGAUUUAUUUAUUUUUUCCUGUUAGUAAAAUCUCAUUAUUGUUUUGUUCCUUGGGUGUGCAUCAUUUCUUUUAGUAAAUGCUGUCCUCUUACUUUGGAUUCUUGUAUGGGAAAUUGUUAACUUCUGAUUUCAUUUCAGUCCGAUACUUUAUUAGAAAGUAUUGGAUGUUUGUGUUGAUUACAGGUCAAAAGUCUCUUUUUAUAUAUUAUGAAGUUUUCAGUUUUUAAGGUUCAACUUGAAUUAACAAAUUUUUUUUAAAGUCCCAAAUUGAUAUGUAUUGCUUUUCUGCUAUUGUAGAUGGCUAUUUUGGUGUAUUUCCUUGCUGAAACCUGCCAAACAGUGAUUGUUGCUUCGGCUGUUUAUCUUGCACGAUGUACCCUCAACAAGAGAGCCCUUAUGAACCAAAAUACUGAGUACUCUCGGAGAAUCAACUAAGGUAAUAUAUUCUUUUGUAUGGAGUUUCAACUAACCUUGGACAUAAUUAGUAGAAUUUGGAGCGACUCAUUUUUGUAAAAUGAAAUUAUUAAAUGUGAUGAUAAUAAGAACAUUGAUGAGGAUUUAUUUAUUUUUCCUGUUAGUAAAAUCUCAUUAUUGUUCUGUUCCUUGGGUGUGCAUCAUUUCUUUUAGUAAAUGUUGUCCUCUUACUUUGGAUUCUUGUAUGGGAAAUUGUUGACCUCUGAUUUCAUUUCAGUCCGAUACUUUAUAAGAAAGUAUUGGAUGUUUGUGUUGAUUACAGGUAGAAAGUCUUUUUUUUGUUGACAUUUAUAAUAUUACCUAGCUUACAUCAAUUUAAUGGAGAAAUUGAGUUUUCCAUUAUUUUUUCUUGAAAUCUUUAAAGGUGUUAAUAGUUCGCACACCAUAAAUAAUCUCUUUAUAUAUAUGAAGUUUUUAGUUUUUAAGGUUCAACUUGAAUAAGCAAAUUUUUUUAAAAGUCCCAAAUUGAUAUGUAUUGCUUUUCUGCUAUUGUAGAUGGCAAUUUUGGUGUAUUUCCUUGCUGAAACUUGCCAAACAGUGAUUGUUUCUUCGGCUGUUUAUCUUGCACGUUGUACCCUCAACAAGAGAGCCCUUAUGAACUAAAAUACUGAGUACUCUCGGAGAAUCAACUAAGGUAAUAUAUUCUUUUGUAUGGAGUUUCAACUAAGCUCAGAUAUAAUUACUAGAAUUUGGAGCAACUCAUUUUAGUAAAAUGAAAUUAUUAAAUGUGAUGAUAAUAAGAACAUUGAUGAGGAUUUAUUUAUUUUUCCUGCUAGUAAAAUCUCAUUAUUGUUCUGUUCCUUGGGUGUGCAUCAUUUCUUUUAGUAAAUGCUGUCCUCUUACUUUGGAUUCUUGUAUGGGAAAUUGUUGACUUCUGAUUUCAUUUCAGUUUGAUACUUUAUAAGAAAGUAUUGGAUGUUUGUGUUGAUUAUAGGUAGAAAGUCUUUUUUUUUGUUGACAAUUAUAAUAUUGCCUUGCUUACAUCAAUUUAAUGGAGAAAUUGAGUUUUCCAUCAUUUUUUCUUGAAAUCUUGAAAGGUUUUAACAGUUCGCACACCAUAAAUAAUCUCUUUUUAUAUAUGAAGUUUUCAGUUUUUAAGGUUCAACUUGAAUAAACAAUUUUUUUUAAAAGUCCCAAAUUGAUAUGUAUUGCUUUUCUGCUAUUGUAGAUGGCAAUUUUGGUGUAUUUCCUUGCUGAAACCUGCCAAACAGUGAUUGUUGCUUCGGCUGUUUAUCUUGCACGUUGUACCCUCAACAAGAGAGCCCUUAUGAACCAAAAUACUGAGUACUCUCGGAGAAUCAACUAAGGUAAUAUAUUCUUUUGUAUGGAGUUUCAACUAACCUUAGAUAUAAUUACUAGAAUUUGGAGCGACUCAUUUUAGUAAAAUGAAAUUAUUAAAUGUGAUGAUAAUAAGAACAUUGAUGAGGAUUUAUUUAUUUUUCCUGCUAGUAAAAUCUCAUUAUUGUUCUGUUCCUUGGGUGUGCAUCAUUUCUUUUAGUAAAUGCUGUCCUCUUACUUUGGAUUCUUGUAUGGGAAAUUGUUGACUUCUGAUUUCAUUUCAGUCCGAUACUUUAUAAGAAGGUAUUGGAUGUUUGUGUUGAUUACAGGUAGAAAGUCUUUUUUUGUUGACAAUUAUAAUAUUACCUUGCUUACAUCAAUUUUAUGGAGAAAUUGAGGUUUCCAUCAUUUUUUCUUGAAAUCUUGAAAGGUUUUAACAGUUCGCAACACCAUAAAUAAUCUCUUUUUAUAUAUGAAGUUUUCAGUUUUUAAGGUUCAACUUGAAUAAACAAUUUUUUUUAAAAGUCCCAAAUUGAUAUGUAUUGCUUUUCUGCUAUUGUAGAUGGCAAUUUUGGUGUAUUUCCUUGCUGAAACCUGCCAAACAGUGAUUGUUGCUUCGGCUGUUUAUCUUGCACGUUGUACCCUCAACAAGAGAGCCCUUAUGAACCAAAAUACUGAGUACUCUCGGAGAAUCAACUAAGGUAAUAUAUUCUUUUGUAUGGAGUUUCAACUAACCUUAGAUAUAAUUACUAGAAUUUGGAGCGACUCAUUUUAGUAAAAUGAAAUUAUUAAAUGUGAUGAUAAUAAGAACAUUGAUGAGGAUUUAUUUAUUUUUCCUGCUAGUAAAAUCUCAUUAUUGUUCUGUUCCUUGGGUGUGCAUCAUUUCUUUUAGUAAAUGCUGUCCUCUUACUUUGGAUUCUUGUAUGGGAAAUUGUUGACUUCUGAUUUCAUUUCAGUUUGAUACUUUAUAAGAAAGUAUUGGAUGUUUGUGUUGAUUAUAGGUAGAAAGUUUUUUUUUUUGUUGACAAUUAUAAUAUUGCCUUGCUUACAUCAAUUUAAUGGAGAAAUUGAGUUUUCCAUCAUUUUUUCUUGAAAUCUUGAAAGGUUUUAACAGUUCGCACACCAUAAAUAAUCUCUUUUUAUAUAUGAAGUUUUCAGUUUUUAAGGUUCAACUUGAAUAAACAAUUUUUUUUAAAAGUCCCAAAUUGAUAUGUAUUGCUUUUCUGCUAUUGUAGAUGGCAAUUUUGGUGUAUUUCCUUGCUGAAACCUGCCAAACAGUGAUUGUUGCUUCGGCUGUUUAUCUUGCACGUUGUACCCUCAACAAGAGAGCCCUUAUGAACCAAAAUACUGAGUACUCUCGGAGAAUCAACUAAGGUAAUAUAUUCUUUUGUAUGGAGUUUCAACUAACCUUAGAUAUAAUUACUAGAAUUUGGAGCGACUCAUUUUAGUAAAAUGAAAUUAUUAAAUGUGAUGAUAAUAAGAACAUUGAUGAGGAUUUAUUUAUUUUUCCUGCUAGUAAAAUCUCAUUAUUGUUCUGUUCCUUGGGUGUGCAUCAUUUCUUUUAGUAAAUGCUGUCCUCUUACUUUGGAUUCUUGUAUGGGAAAUUGUUGACUUCUGAUUUCAUUUCAGUUUGAUACUUUAUAAGAAAGUAUUGGAUGUUUGUGUUGAUUAUAGGUAGAAAGUCUUUUUUUUUGUUGACAAUUAUAAUAUUGCCUUGCUUACAUCAAUUUAAUGGAGAAAUUGAGUUUUCCAUCAUUUUUUCUUGAAAUCUUGAAAGGUUUUAACAGUUCGCACACCAUAAAUAAUCUCUUUUUAUAUAUGAAGUUUUCAGUUUUUAAGGUUCAACUUGAAUAAACAAAUUUUUUUAAAAGUCCCAAAUUGAUAUGUAUUGCUUUUCUGCUAUUGUAGAUGGCAAUUUUGGUGUAUUUCCUUGCUGAAACCUGCCAAACAGUGAUUGUUGCUUCGGCUGUUUAUCUUGCACGUUGUACCCUCAACAAGAGAGCCCUUAUGAACCAAAAUACUGAGUACUCUCGGAGAAUCAACUAAGUUAAUAUAUUCUUUUGUAUGGAGUUUCAACUAACCAUAUAUAUAAUUACUAGAAUUUGGAGCGACUCAUUCUAGUAAAAUGAAAUUAUUAAAUGUGAUGAUAAUAAGAACAUUGAUGAGGAUUUAUUUAUUUUUUCCUGCUAGUAAAAUCUCAUUAUUGUUCUGUUCCUUGGGUGUGCAUCAUUUCUUUUAGUAAAUGCUGUCCUCUUACUUUGGAUUCUUGUAUGGCAAAUUGUUGACUUCUUAUUUCAUUUCAGUCUGAUACUUUAUAAGAAAGUAUUGGAUGUUUGUGUUGAUUACAGGUCAAAAGUUUUUUUUGUUGACAAUUAUAAUAUUAGCUUGCUUACAUCAAUUUUAUGGAGAAAUUGAGUUUUCCAUCAUUUUUUCUUGAAAUCUUGAAAGGUUUUAACAGUUCGCACACCAUAAAUAGUCUCUUUUUAUAUAUGAAAUUUUCAGUUUUUAAGGUUCAACUUGAAUAAACAAAUUUUUUUAAAAGUCCCAAAUUGAUAUGUAUUGCUUUUCUGCUAUUGUAGAUGGCAAUUUUGGUGUAUUUCCUUGCUGAAACCUGCCAAACAGUGAUUGUUGCUUCGGCUGUUUAUCUUGCACGUUGAACCCUCAACAAGAGAGCCCUUAUGAACCAAAAUACUGAGUACUCUCGGAGAAUCAACUAAGGUAAUAUAUUCUUUUUGUAUGGAGUUUCAACUAACCUUAGAUAUAAUUACUAGAAUUUGGAGCGACCCAUUUUAGUAAAAUGAAAUUAUUAAAUGUGAUGAUAAUAAGAACAUUGAUGAGGAUUUAUUUAUUUUUCCUGUUAGUAAAAUCUCAUUAUUGUUCUGUUUCUUGGGGGUGCAUCAUUUCUUUUAGGAAAUGUUGUCCUCUUACUUUGCAUUCUUGUAUGGGAAAUUGUUGACUUCUGAUUUCAUUUCAGUCCGAUACUUUAUAAGAAGGUAUUGGAUGUUUGUGUCGAUUACAGGUAGAAAGUCUUUUUUUGUUGACAAUUAUAAUAUUGCCUUGCUUACAUCAAUUUAAUGGAGAAAUUGAGUUUUCCAUCAUUUUUUCUUGAAAUCUUGAAAGGUUUUAACAGUUCGCAACACCAUAAAUAAUCUCUUUUUAUAUAUGAAGUUUUCAGUUUUUAAGGUUCAACUUGAAUAAAUUUUUUUUUUUAAAAGUCCCAAAUUGAUCUGUAUUGCUUUUCUGCUAUUGUAGAUGGCAAUUUUGGUGUAUUUCCUUGCUGAAACCUGCCAAACAGUGAUUGUUGGGAUGUUUAUCUUGCACGUUGUACCCUCAACAAGAGAGCCCUUAUGAACCAAAAUACUGAGUACUCUAGGAGAAUCAACUAAGGUAAUAUAUUCUUUUGUAUGGAGUUUCAACUAACCUUAGAUAUAAUUACUAGAAUUUGGAGCGACUCAUUUUAGUAAAAUGAAAUUAUUAAAUGUGAUGAUAAUAAGAACAUUGAUGAGGAUUUAUUUAUUUUUCCUGCUAGUAAAAUCACAUUAUUGUUCUGUUCCUUGGGUGUGCAUCAUUUCUUUUAGUAAAUGCUGUCCUCUUACUUUGGAUUCUUGUAUGGGAAAUUGUUGACUUCUGAUUUCAUUUCAGUUUGAUACUUUAUAAGAAAGUAUUGGAUGUUUGUGUUGAUUAUAGGUAGAAAGUCUUUUUUUUUGUUGACAAUUAUAAUAUUACCUUGCUUACAUCAAUUUAAUGGAGAAAUUGAGUUUUCCAUCAUUUUUUCUUGAAAUCUUGAAAGGUUUUAACAGUUUGCACACCAUAAAUAAUCUCUUUUUAUAUAUGAAGUUUUCAGUUUUUACGGAUCAACUUGAAUAAACAAUUUUUUUUUAAAAAAGUCCCAAAUUGAUAUUUAUUGCUUUUCUGCUAUUGUUGAUGGCAAUUUUGGUGUAUUUCCUUGCUGAAACCUGCCAAACAGUGAUUGUUGCUUCGGCUGUUUAUCUUGCACGUUAUACCCUCAACAAGAGAGCCCUUAUGAACCAAAAUACUGAGUACUCUCGUAGAAUCAACUAAGGUAAUAUAUUCUUUUGUAUGGAGUUUCAACUAACCUUAGACAUAAUUACUAGAAUUUGGAGCGAUUCAUUUUUGUAAAAUGAAAUUAUUAAAUGUGAUGAUAAUAAGAACAUUGAUGAGGAUUUAUUUAUUUUUCCUGUUAGUAAAAUCUCAUUAUUGUUCUGUUCCUUGGGUGUGCAUCAUUUCUUUUAGUAAAUGUUGUCCUCUUACUUUGGAUUCUUGUAUGGGAAAUUGUUGACCUCUGAUUUCAUUUCAGUCCGAUACUUUAUAAGAAAGUAUUGGAUGUUUGUGUUGAUUACAGGUAGAUAGUCUUUUUUUUGUUGACAAUUAUAAUAUUACCUUGCUUACAUCAAUUUUAUGGAGAAAUUGAGUUUUCCAUCAUUUUUUCUUGAAAUCUUGAAAGGUUUUAACAGUUCGUACACCAUAAAUAAUCUCUUUUUAUAUAUGAAGUUUUCAGUUUUUAAGGUUAAACUUGAAUAAGCAAUUUUUUUUAAAAGUCCCAAAUUGAUAUGUAUUGCUUUUCUGCUAUUGUAGAUGGCAAUUUUGGUGUAUUUCGUUGCUGAAACUGCCAAACAGUGAUUGUUGCUUCGGCUGUUUAUCUUGCACGUUGUACCCUCAACAAGAGAGCCCUUAUGAACCAAAAUACUGAGUACUCUCGGAGAAUCAACUAAGGUAAUAUAUUCUUUUGUAUGGAGUUUCAACUAACCUUAGAUAUAAUUACUAGAAUUUGGAGCGACUCAUUUUAGUAAAAUGAAAUUAUUAAAUGUGAUGAUAAUAAGAACAUUGAUGAGGAUUUAUUUAUUUUUCCUGCUAGUAAAAUCUCAUUAUUGUUCUGUUCCUUGGGUGUGCAUCAUUUCUUUUAGUAAAUGCUGUCCUCUUACUUUGGAUUCUUGUAUGGGAAAUUGUUGACUUCUGAUUUCAUUUCAGUCCGAUACUUUAUAAGAAGGUAUUGGAUGUUUGUGUUGAUUACAGGUAGAAAGUCUUUUUUGGUUGACAAUUAUAAUAUUACCUUGCUUACAUCAAUUUUAUGGAGAAAUUGAGGUUUCCAUCAUUUUUUCUUGAAAUCUUGAAAGGUUUUAACAGUUCGCAACACCAUAAAUAAUCUCUUUUUAUAUAUGAAGUUUUCAGUUUUUAAGGUUCAACUUGAAUAAACAAUUUUUUUUAAAAGUCCCAAAUUGAUAUGUAUUGCUUUUCUGCUAUUGUAGAUGGCAAUUUUGGUGUAUUUCAUUGUUGAAACCUGCCAAACAGUGAUUGUUGGGAUGUUUAUCUUGCACGUUGUACCCUCAACAAGAGAGCCCUUAUGAACCAAAAUACUGAGUACUCUCGUAGAAUCAACUAAGGUAAUAUAUUCUUUUGUAUGGAGUUUCAACUAACCUUAUAUAUAAUUACUAGAAUUUGGAGCGACUCAUUCUAGUAAAAUGAAAUUAUUAAAUGUGAUGAUAAUAAGAACAUUG